GACGUAGGAUGCGAGCGUUGUCCGGAUUUAUUGGGCGUAAAGAGUUCGUAGGUGGUUCGUUAAGUCUGGUGUUAAAGACUGGGGCUCAACCCUGGAAGUGCAUUGGAUACUGGCGGACUGGAGUGCAGUAGAGGCAAGCGGAAUUCCCAGUGUAGCGGUGAAAUGCGUAGAUAUUGGGAAGAACACCGGUGGCGCAAGCGGCUUGCUGGGCUGUAACUGACGCUGAGGAACGAAAGCUAGGGGAGCGAAUGGG
rnacentral:rRNA from 1 species